rnacentral:rRNA from 1 species
AAUAUUGGACAAUGGGGGCAACCCUGUUCCAGCCAUGCCGUGUGUGUGAAGAAGGUCUUCGGAUUGUAAAGCACCUUAAGUCGGGUGGAAUGGCUUUAGGUUAAUACCCUGAAGUUUUGACGCUACUAACACAAUAAGCACCCGCUAACUCUGUGCCAGCAGCCGCGGUAAUACAGAGGGUGCAAGCGUUAAUCGGAAUUACUGGGCGUAAAGCGCGCGUAGGUGGUUCAGUAAGAUGGAAGUGAAAUCCCCAGGCUUAACCUGGGAACUGCUUUCAUAACUGCUGAGCUAGAGUACGGUAGAGGGUAAUGAAAUUUCCUGUGUAGCGGUGAAAUGCGUAGAUAUAGGAAGGAACACCAGUGGCGAAGGCGACUACCUGGACUGAUACUGACACUGAGGUGCGAAAGCGUGGGGAGCAAACA